UAGAGUUUGAUCCUGGCUCAGGACGAACGCUGGCGGCGUGCUUAACACAUGCAAGUCGAACGAGAUCCAAUGUGUAGCAAUACACAGGAAGAUCUAGUGGCGAACGGGUGAGGAACACGUGAGAAACGUACCCCAGACUCUGGGAUAACAAUCCGAAAGGAUUGCUAAUACCGGAUGACGUCGGAAGUCCGCAUGGACAUCUGACGAAAGGGAUUCCGGUUUGGGAGCGUCUCGCGGACCUAUCAGCUAGUUGGAGGGGUAACGGCCCACCAAGGCAACGACGGGUAGCUGGUCUGAGAGGAUGGACAGCCACACUGGGACUGAGACACGGCCCAGACUCCUACGGGAGGCAGCAGUGGGGAAUCUUGCGCAAUGGGCGAAAGCCUGACGCAGCAACGCCGCGUGCGGGAAGAAGGCUUUCGGGCUGUAAACCGCUUUCAGUAGGAACGAAACUGACGGUACCUACAGAAGAAGGAGCGGCCAACUAUGUGCCAGCAGCCGCGGUGAUA
rnacentral:rRNA from 1 species